UACAGAGGGUGCAAGCGUUGUUCGGAAUUAUUGGGCGUAAAGGGAGUGUAGGCGGUUGGGAAAGUCUUCUGUGAAAUCUACGGGCUCAGCCUGUAACGUGCAGAGGAAACUACUCGGCUUGAGUGUCGGAGAGGAUAGGGGAAUACCCGGUGUAGAGGUGAAAUUCGUAGAGAUCGGGUGGAACACCGGUGGCGAAGGCGGGUCUCUGGGCCGAUACUGACGCUGAGGAGCGAAAGCGUGGGGAGCAAACAGG
rnacentral:rRNA from 1 species